rnacentral:tRNA from 1 species
GCCAGCAUAGCUCAGUGGUAGAGCAACGGUUUCGUAAACCGUAGGUCCCGGGUUCAAGCCCCGGUGCUGGCUCCA